GGGCCCGUGGCUCAGCCAGGUUAGAGAGGACUACCUAGAUCGGCUGGCUCUUAACCAGCAUGUCGUGGGUUCGAAUCCCACCGGGCCCG
rnacentral:tRNA from 1 species